CCGUUACUGUUGGGGGCUGGGGUACAUGUGGGCUCAACCCUGCUGUACACCUUCUCUUUCUGCAUACGUACGCGCACGCAUACACGCAUACAGCGACAGACACAGGUACAAACGCGCAACACGCCCGCCCUGUUACGCACGACUUGGCAUCUGUCGCUGUACCUCUCUCUCGUAGCUCUUACUCUUGAGCGUCUUCUGUUUCUCAUUUUCUCAUGCGCACGCGCGUGUGUGUGUGUUCAUCUCUGCACAUCUUCCAUCGUCUUUGUUUGCCCACGCUUGCACCUCCGCAAGCACGCCAGCCGCGCACGCAUACCUGCACCCCUCAGAACACGCGUGCCGCCCUCUGGCCAAGGUACAGAGCCCGCGGCACAUCCCACACACGUACGCACGCAUAGACCAUACAUCCAUCACCCACCCCCACCCGCACGCCCAGCUCAGACACACACAUAUAUAUAUAUAUAUAUAUAUACAUACACAUACAAGCACUGCUAUCUCUGCAUAGACCACCUUCCCCCCUUUCCUUUGCACGCAGAUAAACGGAAACGCCGCGCAGGGGCAAAGAGGUCAAGAGCGCUAACUGGAUUCUUCGGCUGCGCCAUCACCCCGCUGGGCGGAGCACACACACACACACACACACACACACACACACACACACGAAACACCCUUCGGUUGCCGCAUAGACGCACUUGCGCGCGCCCUCCCUCCCCCUCUUUCACUUGCGCCGCACCCCAUUCCCACACAUUCUUAUAUAGUUUUGUUACCCCCUCCCUUCCCCCCUCCCUGCGCUACAGACCCAACGAGAGAGGGAGAUUAUUCAUAGACACACACACCCACCCCACCCACCCGCACACACGCUUACGCUUACGUUUUGGUGGCGGGAAAAAGGACUACAUGCCCAAGUCAGCCAACACACGCGGUGGCGCUGGAAGUGGCAGCACUUACAACACGCAGCGACACGAAGGCGGCCGUCCCAGCGCGCGCCGCGCCACUGCGCCGCGGGCGGAAGCGACACCGAAGGGCACCGCCGCCGUUGAGGAGAAGGGCAAACCAACGACCGUGCACCAGAAAGUGCACAUCAGCGACCCGCGCUCGUCUGCGCAGCGUCAGCGGUCGGAGGAGGAUGCGCAGGUGCAACGCGAGCCAUCGUCGUUAUCGUCGAUGCACGCGCUGAACGCGUCCUCUCCAGCCUUCAUUCCGUACCAGUACGUGCAACAACAGCAGUGCGGUAAUGCCGGCGACGACGUCGCCGACGCCGCUACGCAGAGCGUUUUCUCUUUCACGGCCACGCCCUCGCUGAUGUACAUGGGCAACACAGGCGGCAGCAGCUCCGUCUCCUCCCCGCUUGCCUUCGCGGUGCCGUCGGAUGCGGGCCAUUCCACUGCCAUGCUGUCGCCUUUCUCCCCUUCCUUGGCUGCCAAGCAGGACUCGCUGGCCAAUAGCGCCACCUUUGCCUCCGUCGCGUCAGCCGCCGCGAGUGGUUCUGCACUUUCUACACAGCCGUCCCAUCAACUGCGCGGUGCGUACGCGCGGGCAACCGCAGCAGCUGCCGCAGCCGCUGCUUCUUCCGCGUUGCACCUUCACCACACCGAUCCAUACGCUUCGGUCGCCGCCGCGCCCAACUCUGCCGUCCCCGCGGGGACGGCAGAUGCUCCGCCACACACUCAGUUGGAGCCGCAGCAGCGCUGUGCCACGCGCAAGACUCCGGUCGCGGCGUCGUCGACCGCCAAAGCCGUGUACGGUCCGUCGGUUCCAGUUUUCCACUCGCAGUUCAUCGACAUUGCCACCGGCAACACCUCCAUGACCCCCUUCGCACUUUUACAGGAGCAACCCGACGGCGACGACGUUGACCGCCUCAGCGAGGCUUGCGACGAUCGCCACACAGGGGCCGAAACAGCACCAGAGCCGGCGACUAUUGGCGCUAUGGCUGCAGUGCCGCGGUCCCCGCCGACGCUGGCACAGGACAGGGAGGAGGCAGAGACGCAGAGGGUUCGCCAGGCAUACAACUCGGCCAGCCAGCAGCCCUCGCAGCGCCGCAUCUCGGCAGCCACCGCGGCUGUCCUGGCAAGCCAAGACGCGCGGCUCGCGGAGCGCUCUCGGCGCUACGCCCAGGCUGGGCAGCUGCUCUACGAGCCGGCCUCCGCAACCACCACCGCCGCUCUGAGCUCGAAUGGGGCAUCUUCGCAGCGCCCCAGCAACAAGGACGCGAGCGACGCCGCCACCGCCAAGCCGAUCGUGAAGGCCCAGCGACACACGUCUGCGUUCGAGACAGCCACGGCGAGCGAAACAGAGACGACCACACACGAGACUCCAAAACGCCGCUCGCCCACAGUAUCCACGGCAACCGUCGGUACCAGCAACGGUAACAAGGUGCGAACGUCCGUCACGCCCAGCAUCGACGGUGGUGCAUCCGCAGUGAAGCGCUUACACACAUGCCUAGCGAGCACCGAUGAGCGCACAGAGGGCGACCGGGCGGGGUCGGCUAUGGGACUCACCGGCUCCACGCGCCGCGGCCUGCCUACUUGCGGCGACGACAACGAUGACGAGGGGCGACGCAGCGACACUGUGACCCCAACGACGACGCCUGCCAAGGUGUUGGCGGCUGAGAGCUCUCCGUUCGUGGCGGCUGCCGCUGCCUCCGGCGGUGCAUCCACCGGCCGCGCGCACCGCCGCUCCGUGUCGCGGGAGGACAGCGCCGUUGCUCACUCUGAGUGCGGCUUGAGCGAGUCGACGCGUCACACCCGCGUAGUCCAUCAGGAGCACAGCAGCAGUAGCAGCAACGCCCACCUUCAGCGCGCCAUGAUGCAGCUCAUUGCACAAAUUCAAACGAGCAACACCACCAAAGGACAUGCCUUCUCGCCCGCCGCUGCUACCACCGCCAUCACGCCGCACAAGUCUAGCAUCCAAAACGCCGCGCUUGGUGAGACGGGUGCUACAGCCGCCACGCCCGCCGCCUUCAAGACACCUGAGGUGGAGCGGGUCCCGUCGGCCCGCCCCAGCGCGUCCAAGAACGCCGCGAUUCGCAACAUCACCACCAUCAUCCACACGCCGAACACGUCCAGCGCACAUCACGGCCACUCUUCUGCGGUCACGAAGACGACAAUCACGUCGGAGACGUCGCGGCAUCACCACAGCGCUGCGGAGACCUCGGCGUCGGCAAAGGACUCGCGUGGCGCAGCGCCGAAGGUCGCGCAGCGGUCGCUGGCAAGCUGCCUUGAGGCCAUUUCACCUCAGCGUGGAGAGAGUGCGCGCAACAGCAGCAACGCAGUGCGCGCUGAGCUGGCCACCGCCAUGUCACAGGCACCGCUGCCGUCGUCGUCCUCGGCACCCUUCAUGCCAUCCGGGACUGCAGGGGCGAUGCCGGUUCCGCGCUCGCAGCGACGUGGCACAAAGCAGGGGUCCUCCAGCGCCACUUCCGCUGCUGCUGCAGGUGCAGCUGAGUCUCGCUCGCCGGCAGCGCAGGCGACCAACUACGCGGUUGUGAUCGAGGGCCACAUGCAGCGCCGUGUCACGGCCGUCUCGUCCACGGUGCUGAAGCGAGGAGUCUGCGUUCUGUUCGAGGAGGACCGCGGAAUCGACAUGGGCCGCGUCGUGCAGUGCGACGUGCUGGAUGGCGAUGGGGCUGCCAGCAUGCUGGCCACAAUGGCCUCGGCGACGUCGCCACUCAGCCGCAAGGACCGCCCCGCCCCUGUGCUACGACCAGCCACGGCGGAGGAGGAGUACCGCUGGCUUUACGCUGACGUCAAGGAGGCGGAGGCGACGUUGGAGCCGUGCCGCGAGGCGGCCGCGCGUCUUGGGCUGCCGGUGAAGGUGGUGGCGGCCGUGUAUCAGUUCAAUAAGGCCAAGCUCACCUUCUAUUACGAGAGCCCCACGCGCGUCGACUUCCGCCCUCUGCUGCCCUCGCUCUUCUCCCGCUUCCACUGCCGCAUUUGGAUGGCCCGCCUGGAGACACCCGAGAUGACCGCGGCGGCGUCUGGUGGUGUCGAGGAGGGUGCCCAUACUCACUUGCAGGCGGAGAAGAGCGCUUGAGGGGGCGCCAUGCGCUGCUGAUGAGGUCGGUGUGGCGUCCUCGCUUGUGACGUGCAGGAGCGAGGGAUGGAAGCGAAGAGGUUCCCUUCUCUGUGUGUGUGUGCAGUGGCACACAAGCAUCACGCUUUCGCUCUCGCCCGCCCUCUGGCUACGAAACCUCCGCCCCCCCGAGAGGGAGAGGGGGAGUGCAAGCACGCGUUGUUGUGCAUCGGUUUGUGCAAUGCUGUGUACCGUGUGCGCAUGUUUUCAAGUUGCCCUGCUCUUCCUCUGUUGUUUGUGUCUGUGGCUGCAUGUGCACUUUUCUUUUCGUGAUGCUUCGUAAGUAUGCCAUGCUCGGGCUCUCUGUUGCGGGGCUUCUCGGCAACGCAUGGGCACAACGCGCCCACGUGGAUGCAGGCAGACAGACACGCGCACGCGGACAUGCAGGGCAUUAACCCUUGCCUUGCCAGCACACCAUUCUCACGCCACCCUCGAGUCGCCGCUUUCUUAGUUUCUUUGCUGAGAGCGCACUGUCGUUGCCUUGCCUGUUGGUAUGUGUCUUGUUUCGUCUCGAUUCGUUGAUAAACUGCUCACCCCACUGUGCCGACGUCAACUCAACGGAGCAGCGGGGAGAGGAUGGGAGGAUGGGGAGGGCGGAGGGCGGAAAGGUGUUGUCGCACUGCUCUGUCUGUUCUCUCUCUGCCCUCUUGUGUGUCUCAGUUUCUCUCGCUCACAUGCCCACCCCUUCCCCUUCUCCAUCGCCUGUGCUGCCACGACGGUCGACCACCACGUCUUCCAUGCCGUUGCGCGCUUCUGUUUUUAAGUUACACGCAUGUGUGGAGUUCAUUUCUUUCACGCAAGCGACGCCCCCUUCUCUUUCUCUGCUGGCGUAUUUCGUGUCUGUGUGUGCCUGUGUGCCUAUUUGUCUGUGUGUGUGUGUCUAAGGGGGGAGGGAGGGGGCGUUGCGUGGAUGAUGUUCUCGCUUCUUCUCGUUUUCGAGCUUUUUUUAUUUGGGGGGUGGCGUUGACGUCAUACGCUGCGGAUGCAUCGCAACGUGUGGGGCGCUUCUUCUUCAGACGGCAUGCUUUUAUCAUGCGUGUGCCUACACACAUCUUCGUUGUGUAGUGUGGUGUGUGUCUCUCGGACGGUCCUUUUCUUUUCAUGUAUGCACGUACGUUGAUGCGUUCUUCAAGAGCGAAGCCGCAUUGACCUCCCCCCUCCCUCCCUCACCCCCCAACGCCGGCACACGCGCAUGGAUGCAUUUGCGUUGGGCGUCUGUGUGCGUGCACUGUGUGCGCAUGCACUGGUGGACACGUGCACCGUCACCAUCCUUCAUGCAUGCCCAUGCGUUCGCUGCCGAGAAGAAAGAGGAGGGGUUGGGGUGGGGCAGCAGCCGCGAAGAAGAGGUGCGCUAGCUGUUAUGUUGAAUCAUGCACAUGUAUGUAAAACGGUGAUGAUGAGUGAUAAGAAGCGAGAGAAAAGUGGCGGCGGCGGCGUGCAUCCAGGGCCGCCGCUCUUCUCCGUCGCUCCGACGGUUGCGCAUGCGCGUCUUGCUCACUGCAUCUCUGUGUGCAUGCGUGGUCGUCUGUGGUUUGAUGGGGCGCCGUGGGAAGAAGAGGGCGAAGGAGAGACAUAAACGUCCUCACCACCACCACACGUCCACUCACAGCGUGGUGAAGGUUGUGGCGCGCGGGGAGUUAGAUGAUGGCGAGGAAGUUUUAUAUAUACACACGCAUAUAUAUAUAUAUAUAUAUAUGCCGCUAAAGCACACACACACACACACACACAAAACGAAGAGACUCUGUGAUGGGUGGAGGUAAUAAAGGAUUGUGCGCGCACGAGAGAGGAGGCGGGUCGGUGAGUCGUGGCCACCUCCGCUGCACGUAUCCUUUUUCCUUGAUGUAUGUGCGUAUAUCUUGUUGUCUCCCAGAUGCAUAGCUGCCUUGGCGCGUUGGGCGUAUGCGCGCGCACGGUUGAUGCACUGAUCGUCUUCUUCCAUAGACAGCACCUAAAAAAGGAAAACAAGCAAAGAGAUGCCGAAUGGUGGUCGAGUGGGGGAGAGGGGGGGGCAUCUCUCUCUCUCUCCGUCUUCGCUGAUGUGCCUCGUUCUCGUCGCUGUGGCUGAUUGAUGGCUGUGCUCU
rnacentral:misc_RNA from 1 species